CUAAGUCUGUAAUAAUUUGCUAUAGCAGCCACAGAAAAUGAAUACAGUGUUCAGUAAAUAUUUAUUGAAACUGAACUAAAAAAGCUUACAAAUAUGUAAUGUAUGAUACACUAAACAUACAUGGAGAGAGAAGAAUUUUAAUGCCAGAGGUUCCAGUUGUUAAGUUCCUGAAUGUAAUGUUUCAGCAUAGAAGAUGAAAGAUAGGACUCAAAUUAAGAUUCAGAAGGGAGAAAUUGCAGCCAACCUAAAGAACCAAUUUCCUUGUAGCAUCUCCUGGAAUAGCAUUCGGAAAAGACAAAAUUAAAAAUUACUGCAUAAAAAAUUACUGCAUUUCCAUCACUUCAGUAUCUUCUUUGAACUUGUGUUUUGGUAGCACAUGAAAAAGUAGCUUGAAGCCCAUUGAGUGGUGUUUCUUCUGUGCUGUGUUCCUCAGGAACCCUCAUUGACUUCUCUGGUCCACAGCUCCUCUGACCUGGUGAGCCUCUGCCUUCAAGAGCUCUACAUAAGAAAUAGUGGUUUUUAGUAAUGAAAGUAUUUUGAAAAAUGGAAAGCAUAUCUUUUCUCCCAGUUUAUGUAUCUGGUGAGAAAAUGGAGGAACACUGCAUCUUUUUUUAACCAAGAUAACUUUUAUCAACCUACUUCUGAUAUGUGGUCAUAGUAACUGAAAUUAACACUGAAAUCCAUGUUAUUGCAAAUGCUUUUCUUAAACUGCCAAGAAUAAUAUAUUACUAAACACCCUUCAUUUUUUCUAAUAGCCAUAUAGAUAUACUGCUCUCUAACCAGAUUUGGAGAAAUAGUACAAUGCUUUCUUUCUGGAGGAAAAAAAAAAGGUAUGUUCCUUCAUUAUCUUUUGGUUUCUAAAAAUAGCUUGGAAUUAAAUGUCAUGUACCUUUGGAAUUCAUUUUAUAAAUAUACUUGGUAACUAGGAAACUCACAUUGUCAUUAUUUAUAAUCUAGGAAUUCUUUCCAUGGUAACUGUUAUAAGGUCACAAUUAUGAAGCCACACUGGAGGCUAAGAGGCUAUUUAAGAAUUCACCAAAAAAAAAAAAAAAAAAAAAAAGCCUAUUCACAGGAGAUGGUAAUGUCUGAUGAUCACCAGAUGAAUGAGAUUUAACUUAUAAUAAUAAAACUACUUGAGAAAUUAAGGCA
rnacentral:lncRNA from 12 species